CUCCUUUGACGUUAGCGGCGGACGGGUGAGUAACACGUGGGUAACCUACCUAUAAGACUGGGAUAACUUCGGGAAACCGGAGCUAAUACCGGAUAAUAUUUCGAACCGCAUGGUUCGAUAGUGAAAGGUGGUUUUUGCUAUCACUUAUAGAUGGACCCGCGCCGUAUUAGCUAGUUGGUAAGGUAACGGCUUACCAAGGCGACGAUACGUAGCCGACCUGAGAGGGUGAUCGGCCACACUGGAACUGAGACACGGUCCAGACUCGUACGGGAGGCAGCAGCC
rnacentral:rRNA from 1 species